CGCGUAGGCGGUCGGGUAAGUCGGGUGUGAAAUUCCGGGGCUCAACCCCGUGAACUGCACUCGAUACUGCUCGACUAGAGAGAGGUAGGGGCGAGUGGAAUUCCCGGUGUAGCGGUGGAAUGCGUAGAUAUCGGGAAGAACACCGGUGGCGAAGGCGGCUCGCUGGACCUCUUCUGACGCUGAAGCGCGAAAGCGUGGGGAGCAAACA
rnacentral:rRNA from 1 species